CUCUCAUCUUUCUCUCUCGCCUCUUUCCUCCCUUACUCUCUCGGCUCUCUCUUAUCUCAAUCUUCUUGUCUCGCCUCCCUCUCUUUCUUUUCAGUCUUAUCACUUUUUUUUUCUGCUGCUGUGUUGUUAUUACUGCACCUGCUACCUUACCUCACUGCUGCUGCAACACAUUACUGGAGUUACAAAAUUUCUGCCGCUGCACCUGCUGCCUUACCUCACUGCUGCUGCUGCAAGAUAUUCCUGCUGUUAUAAACUUGCUGCUGCAACAUAUUUCUGCCGGUACAAAACUGCACUGCUGCACACUGCUGCCUUUACACCACUGCUGCUACUCUCUCUACAAUUGGCUGGAUGUAUCUUCUUCAACAAAAGGUGGAAUACAACCUCUUUAUUUUGGAGAACCUGGAUUUCUUCUUCUCUCCUCAGAUCUGAAUAACAGUGUGUGGAGACAAAGUGAGGAUGAAGAAGAUGGAAGCUAUGGAUGUUGAUAUGUCCAAGCAGACAGAUGAAGUUUCCCAUGCAUUAGCAGCCGCAAAUGCAGUUAUAAAGACAUCUAACACAAGUUCUGGGACAAUGUUCCAAGACAUUAACCGAUGGUCUCAGGAGGGAGCUUGACAUGUACCACUAUGAUGAAGACGAUGAUGUUGGAAUAACUAACGAGGAUAAUCUUUGGCAUUACGUAUGUAAAAUGUACAUGUGGGACAAUAAUAUCACCAAUUACACCA